rnacentral:rRNA from 1 species
AUUGAACGCUGGCGGCAGGCCUAACACAUGCAAGUCGAACGAGUGGCGGACGGGUGCGUAAUGUCUGGGAAACUGCCCGAUGGAGGGGGAUAACUACUGGAAACGGUAGCUAAUACCGCAUACCAUCGGAUGUGCCCAGUUGGGAUUAGCUAGUAGGUGGGGUAACGGCUAACCUAGGCGACGAUCCCUAGCUGGUCUGAGAGGAUGACCAGCCACAAUGGAACUGAGACAAGGUCCAGACUCCUACGGGAGGCAGCAGUGGGGAAUAUUGCACAAUGGGCGCAAGCCUGAUGCAGCCAGGCCGCGUGUAUGAAGAAGGCCUUCGGGUUGUAAAGUACUUUCAGCGAGGAGGCGUUACUCGCAGAAGAAGCACCGGCUAACUCCGUGCCAGCAGCCGCGGUAAUUC